UCUGAAUGGGGAAACCCACCGGUCUUCGGACCGGUACCGUACGGUGAAUACAUAGCCGUACGGGGCGAACUCGGGGAACUGAAACAUCUAAGUACCCGAAGGAAAGGACAUCAAUUGAGACUUCCUUAGUAGUGGCGAGCGAACGGGAACCAGGCCAGUGGCUUUAGUGAGACAACCGGAACCGUUUGGAAAGACGGGCCAUAGUGGGUGACAGCCCCGUACGGGUAAUUCGAACUUUAGUCCUCGAGUAGGGCGGGACACGUGAAAUCCUGUCUGAACAUGGGGGGACCACCCUCCAAGCCUAAAUACUCGUAUGUGACCGAUAGCGAACCAGUACCGUGAGGGAAAGGUGAAAAGCACCCCGACGAGGGGAGUGAAACAGACCCUGAAACCGGACGCCUACAAGCAGUCGGAGCCGCCUUGCGCGGUGACGGCGUACCUUUUGUAUAAUGGGUCAGCGACUUUGUCUCUCGAGCAAGCUUAAGCCGGUAGGUGUAGGCGCAGCGAAAGCGAGUCUGAACAGGGCGACGAGUUCGAGGGAUAAGACCCGAAACCGAGUGAUCUAGCCAUGUGCAGGUUG
rnacentral:rRNA from 1 species